rnacentral:rRNA from 1 species
AUUGAACGCUGGCGGCAUGCCUUACACAUGCAAGUCGAACGGUAACAGGUCUUCGGAUGCUGACGAGUGGCGAACGGGUGAGUAAUACAUCGGAACGUGCCCGAUCGUGGGGGAUAACGGAGCGAAAGCUUUGCUAAUACCGCAUACGAUCUACGGAUGAAAGCAGGGGACCGCAAGGCCUUGCGCGGACGGAGCGGCCGAUGGCAGAUUAGGUAGUUGGUGGGAUAAAAGCUUACCAAGCCGACGAUCUGUAGCUGGUCUGAGAGGACGACCAGCCACACUGGGACUGAGACACGGCCCAGACUCCUACGGGAGGCAGCAGUGGGGAAUUGUGGACAAUGGGCGAAAGCAUGAUCCAGCCAUGCCGCGUGCAGGAUGAAGGCCUUCGGGUUGUAAACUGCUUUUGUACGGAACGAAAAGACUCUUUCUAAUACAGAGGGUCCAUGACGGUACCGGAAGAAUAAGCACCGGCUAACUACGUG